rnacentral:rRNA from 1 species
UACGAAGGGUGCAAGCGUUAAUCGGAAUUACUGGGCGUAAAGCGUGCGUAGGCGGUUCGUUAAGUUCGUUGUGAAAGCCCCGGGCUCAACCUGGGAAUGGCAAUGGAAACUGGCGGGCUGGAGUAUGGCAGAGGGGGGUGGAAUUCCGCGUGUAGCAGUGAAAUGCGUAGAGAUGCGGAGGAACACCGAUGGCGAAGGCAGCCCCCUGGGCCAAUACUGACGCUCAGGCACGAAAGCGUGGGGAGCAAACAGG